rnacentral:rRNA from 1 species
CCUACGGGAGGCAGCAGUAGGGAAUCUUCCACAAUGGGCGAAAGCCUGAUGGAGCAACGCCGCGUGGGUGAAGAAGGUCUUCGGAUCGUAAAACCCUGUUGUUAGAGAAGAAAGUGCGUGAGAGUAACUGUUCACGUUUCGACGGUAUCUAACCAGAAAGCCACGGCUAACUACGUGCCAGCAGCCGCGGUAAUACGUAGGUGGCAAGCGUUAUCCGGAUUUAUUGGGCGUAAAGGGAACGCAGGCGGUCUUUUAAGUCUGAUGUGAAAGCCUUCGGCUUAACCGGAGUAGUGCAUUGGAAACUGGGGGACUUGAGUGCAGAAGAGGAGAGUGGAACUCCAUGUGUAGCGGUGAAAUGCGUAGAUAUAUGGAAGAACACCAGUGGCGAAAGCGGCUUUCUGGUCUGUAACUGACGCUGAGGUUCGAAAGCGUGGGUAGCAAACAGGAUUAGAUACCCGGGUAGUC